GAGUUUGAUCAUGGCUCAGAACGUACGCUGGCGGCACGCCUAACACAUGCAAGUCGAACGAAGUAGCAAUACUUAGUGGCAGACGGGUGAGUAACAUGUAGGUAUCUGCCCUUUGGCCUGGAAUAACACGAGGAAACUUGUGCUAAUACCGGAUAAGUCUUUACGGAGAAAGCUUUAUGCACCAUUGGAUGAGCCUGCACUUGAUUAGUUUGUUGGUGGGGUAAUGGCCUACCAAGACUUUGAUCAAUAGCUGAUUUGAGAGGAUGAUCAGCCACAUUGGGACUGAGACACGGCCCAAACUCCUACGGGAGGCAGCAGUGGGGAAUCUUGCACAAUGGAGGAAACUCUGAUGCAGCGAUGCCGCGUGAGUGAGGAAGGCCCUUGGGUUGUAAAGCUCUUUCGUCGGGGAAGAAAAUGACUGUACCCGAAUAAGAAGGUCCGGCUGACUUCGUGCCAGCAGCCGCGGUAAUACGAAGGGACCUAGCGUAGUUCGGAAUUACUGGGCUUAAAGAGUUCGUAGGUGGUUGAAAAAGUUGGUGGUGAAAUCCCAGAGCUUAACUCUGGAGCUGCCAUCAAAACUUUUCAGCUAGAGUUUGAUAGAGGAAAGCAGAAUUUCUAGUGUAGAGGUGAAAUUCGUAGAUAUUAGAAAGAAUACCAAUUGCGAAGGCAGCUUUCUGGAUCAUUACUGACACUGAGGAACGAAAGCAUGGGUAGCGAAGAGGAUUAGAUACCCUCGUAGUCCAUGCCGUAAACGAUGUGUGUUAGACGUUGGAAAUUUAUUUUCAGGUCGCAGCGAAAGCGAUAAACACACCGCCUGGGGAGUACGACCGCAAGGUUAAAACUCAAAUGAAU
rnacentral:rRNA from 1 species